UUGAUGCAGCCAAAAAAUAAAAUGAAAGAAAUUUAUGAAAAUGAGGGAAACUGUUUCAGGUGACAUUCAAACUGGAAACUGAUCUCUUUCCACCAAAAAGCCCGCAUGGCCUUAAUACUCAGCUCUAAGAAGGCAUUUCAGAUGCACACAGGUAGAGGCUAAACUGACAGUCAUGCUCACUGGAUUCAGAGGAUUUAGGCUGCAGCCUUCAGUAGGAUAAGAACAUGCACAGAGGGACUGGGGAUUCCCAGAAAUUGCUGCGUCAGCCCUCAGACCAGGAAGUCGCUCAGCACUGAUCGGAUGAAACAGACAACACGGGAGGCAGGAGCACGGUGACUGCUGAGGCAAGACCAACUGGGACAACGAUGGAGUGGGAGCUCCAAACACAGCACCACACACACACACUCAAAGGCCUUCCUGAGUUUUUAGUUAAGAAUCCUUGCAUGCGAAGGACCCUUCCAGAGGCUGCUGAAGAGAAGGAUCUGAUGGAAAGCAGGAGAAGAAGAUGGAAAGAUGAGCUGCUGACCUUCCCUGCACAGUGAUGGAAGGAUGCUGGAGAGAGGCUGUGCCCAUUCUGGGCUCCAAACAGCACAAGGUUCUGAACCUGGGCUUGGAAAGGAAGAGACCAGGAGCUCUAGGCUAGUAGUAUGGUUUAUGAAGACACUUAAAAAGAGAGUGGCUGGCCUGAGGAUCUGUUGGUGUGUCUUGUGUCAGCAGACAGUCUCACAGUGGCUGUGAGGAGCUCCUUGAACACUUCCAUCAGCCCUGCCUUGGCCUUGGCCACCCUAUCCUGCUCCAGGGUCUCCAGCAAUCAGCCCUGGUUCACAGAAAACCUCUUCUACAUCUCAGAGAGGCCAGUUCUAGCUCUUUGAAGAGCUUUCUGGAAAGGGCCCUUAAGUUUUGAUGAGUUUUCUUUACCAGGUUCCUAUGAGCCUGGUCUGCAGAGUGGUCCAGCAUCAACCCUUCUCCUCACAACAUUUAGAAGGUAACCCCCUGCUUAAAAUCUUCAGUGAUACCCCUCAACCUUCUCCCACUCCCAUGCCUCCAUGAUAAAAUUCUAACUCAAGCUGUCCCUGCCCUGGUUCCUGCCUCAACUGGCCACACUGCCCCAUGCUGUCUACACUAAAACAAACCUAGACUCACCGAGCUCCUUGGAUGCAUCAGGUUCACUCUUGACUCAGAGCUUCUGUGCAUGCAGUUUUCUGCCUGGAUCACUCUUCACCUACAUGCCACAUGGCCUCAAGCCUCUCUUCUCAAGUCUCAGCCCUUCUUGAAACACCUCCCUGGUUGGGUUUGGUCACCUCCCUAUAUGAUUCUACAUACCCAGGACAUCCCCACCGGAGCCUGAUGAGUGUUACUGCUAGUUUAAUAGUGCAGCAUAAGCUCUCUAGGGCUAGAGUCCAUAUCUGUUUGUAUCAUUUUGGCAUCCAAGGUGCCUAGCAUAGUGCCAACACAGAAUAAGUGUUCACUAAACAGUGAAGACAAAAAUGAAAGAGAACUUUCCCUGCCCCCAUCCUACAGUGCCUCCAGGGGCGAGUCCCUCCUUGAAGUCUUUUGUUGGUUAAAAAUCCCUGGGGGUUUCUGAUUUAGAGUCUUUCCCUUGAGGGCUGCACUAUGUUUUAAGAAAAUGCCUAUUCCCAGCUGCACAGUUUAGGUACAU